rnacentral:rRNA from 1 species
GGAAGGCUCGUCCGCGGGGGGUUAGUCGGGACCUAAGGCGAGGCUGAAAAGCGUAGUCGAUGGACAACAGGUUGAUAUUCCUGUACCGAUAUUUAAUUGCCGAAGGAAGGACGCAGAAGGAUAACACAGGCCACUAUUGGAUGUGGUUUUAAACAGUUAGUCUUCAUAAGAGUCAAAUGCUUUUAUGUUUAAGGAUAAGCUGUGAAUGUACCAAGUUUACUUGGAAAUUGUGUGAUUUCACGCUGCUGAAAAAAGUUUCGUAGGAAGAAAAUAUUGCCCGUACCGCAAACCGACACAGGUACUCAAGUGGAGAACACUAAGGUGAGCGAGUGAACUAUUGUUAAGGAACUCUGCAAAAUGAGUCCGUAACUUCGGAAGAAGGACUGCUGGUUUUAUACCAGCCGCAGCAAAUAGGCCCAAACAACUGUUUAUCAAAAACACAGGUUUCUGCAAAAUCGUAAGAUGAAGUAUAGGGGCUGACGCCUGCCCAGUGCUGGAAGGUUAAAAGGAGGACUUAGCUUCGGCGAAGGUCUUAAUUGAAGCCCCAGUGAACGGCGGCCGUAACUAUAACGGUCCUAAGGUAGCGAA